UCGACUUCCAGGUAGAGUG
rnacentral:siRNA from 1 species